rnacentral:lncRNA from 1 species
CUCUCUCUCACACACCAUCUGUCUGUCUGCCUGUCUCUUUCUUCCCCCGGGGUCAAAAAAUGGAGAGGGACCCUAGAUGUCACACCACGUUGAAAGGCUUCUCUCAGGCAUAUAAGCUGUUAUAAUGUGGACUGUGACAACAGUCAAUGUUUUGCUUGCUGUCUCUGCUGGGAAAGUCAUAAAGUUAGCAUUAGAAACUACCUGAAACACUGAUUUUUGCCACCAGAGGUGGCAAAACUCCCCAAAGUCCUAGAGCCAUUCUCUCCAUUCUGGCCCACCUUUAUAAAGAUUGUUAUUACCACUAGAGCCAACUGUAACACAGCCUCCGCAGACGGCCUGUUGAAGAACACGUGCAAAUCAGAACUAACUCAGAGAGAUGCCUCAACAGAAGUCAGCAGGUCCUUGCUUCCUGAAAUAUGCUCCGUGAAGCUUCUCCAGGACACCAUGAGGACAUGGCGUCUAUCUGCAACAGGCUUCCAUAUGUCCAUGCCUGUGGGCAUCAGGAAGUGUAGCUGCAGGGAGUCUGAUACUCAGUUUUGCAGAGCUGAGUUGUACCUGGUGUUGUCGUUGUAGUAAAUAUGCCCCAUUCACUGCAGCCCUGUCACUUGAGACUGCCAGAUCCAGUGCCAGUAUGUGUUCUCCAGACAGCACAGGUCAGGGUGAGGGUCUCUCCAGGUUCACCACUCCUGGGCCAGACUGGACCAGCUGCACUUGGGACAAGACACCUGGAAACAGAAAGACUGGAGUGAAAUACAAUGCAACUCAUCUUUUGUUUGGUGGUGAGGGCAGUUGAACUCCUGGCUACUAAGUGAACAGCAGUCAGAACUGGCUGUAGAGAACAUCCCCCUGAGACAUGGACCUGGAGUGAGGAGGGAGAGAGAGGAGAGAAACAGCCAUAGUGGGUGUGUCCAGAUGAGCACAAGUGUGCCUCUUGCAGCAUCUCAAACCCUUUUGAGAAGCUGCAAGAUGCAUGUGCAGGAACAAAAAAACGCUCCUCAUGCUACAUAGAUGCAAUGCAGGGGCAAAAUCUGGUACCUGGAUAUCCAGGUACCAAAAUAAAACCCUGAGGAAAAAAGUGGGGCA